rnacentral:rRNA from 1 species
GUAGGUGGCAAGCGUUGUCCGGAAUUAUUGGGCGUAAAGCGCGCGCAGGCGGUUCUUUAAGUCUGAUGUGAAAGCCCACGGGCUCAACCGUGGAGGGUCAUUGGAAACUGGAGAACUUGAGUACAGAAGAGGAAAGCGGAAUUCCACGUGUAGCGGUGAAAUGCGUAGAGAUGUGGAGGAACACCAGUGGCGAAGGCGGCUUUCUGGUCUGUAACUGACGCUGAGGCGCGAAAGCGUGGGUAGCAAACAGGAUUAGAUACCCUGGUAGUCCACGCCGUAAACGAUGAGUGCUAAGUGUUAGGGGGUUUCCGCCCCUUAGUGCUGCAGCUAACGCAUUAAGCACUCCGCCUGGGGAGUACGGCCGCAAGGCUG